GAUGAACGCUGGCGGCGUGCUUAACACAUGCGAGUCGAGCGAGAAGUUUUGAACAGAUUCUUCGGAUGAAAUUUAAAAUGGAAAGCGGCGGACGGGUGAGUAACGCGUAGGCAACCUGCCCCAUACAAAGGGAUAGCAUUUGGAAACGAAUAUUAAUACCUUAUGAAACUUAACUAGUGCAUGCUAGGUAGGUCAAAGAUUUAUCGGUAUGGGAUGGGCCUGCGUCUGAUUAGCUAGUUGGGGAGGUAACGGCUCACCAAGGCGACGAUCAGUAGCCGACCUGGGAGGGUGAACGGCCACAUUGGAACUGAGACACGGUCCAAACUCCUACGGGAGGCAGCAGUGGGGAAUAUUGCACAAUGGGGGAAACCCUGAUGCAGCAACGCCGCGUGAACGAUGAAGGCCUUUGGGUCGUAAAGUUCUGUUCUAGGUGAUGAAAACUGACAGUAACCUAGGAGAAAGCCCCGGCUAACUCCGUG
rnacentral:rRNA from 1 species